rnacentral:lncRNA from 1 species
CCUGUUCACCCGAAUAGUCUACACUGUACCCAAUAUGUAGUAUUUUAUCCCUUAUCCUCCUUCCAGCCCUCCCCCCCGAGUCCCCAAGGUCCAUUAUAUCACUUUUAUGCCUUUCUGUCCUCAUAGCUUAGCUCCCACUUAUAAGCCAGCACCAUUUGUUCAAAAGAUUGUCCUUUCCCCAGUGAGUAUUCUUGGCAUCUUUGCCAACAAUCAGUUGUCUGUAAGUAUGUGGAUUAGUUUCUGGGUUCUCUAUUCUGUUCCAUUAGUCUUUGUGUCUAUUUUUAUGCCAGUACCAUGCUGUUUUGGUUAUUACAGUUUUUUAGUAUAUUUUGAGGCCUGAUAGUGUGAUACCUCCAGAUUUGUUCUUUUUGCUCAGGAUUGCUUUGGCUAUUUGAGGUCUCUUGUAGUUUCAUACAAAUUUUAGGAUUUUUUUUUCUAUUUCUGUGAAGAAUGUCAUUGGUAUUUUGAUAGGGAUUGCAUUAAAUAUGUAGCUUGCUUUGGGUAGUAUUAUUAUGUUAAUAAUAUGAAUUUUUCCAAAUCUGCGAGCAUGGGAUGUCUUUCCAUUUGUUUGUAUCCUCUUCAAUAUCUUUCAUCAGUGUUUUGUAGUUUUCCUUGUAGACAUCUUUCACCUCCUUGGUUAAAUUUAUUCUUAGGUAUUUUAUUUUAUUUUUUGGUAGCUACUGUAAAUGGGAUUGCUUUCUUGAUUUCUUUUUCAGCUAAGUUUGUUGUACAUGUAUGGAAAUAACUGCUGAUUUGUGUAUGUAAUUUUUUUUUUUAUCCUGCAACUUUACUGAAUUUAUCAGUUUUAAGAGUUCUUUGGUAGAGUCUUUAGGUUUUUAUAUAUAUGUGAUCCUGUCAUCUACAAACAGGGACAAUUUGACUUCCUCCUUUUCCAUUUGGAUGCCUUUUAUUUCAAGUUCUUGCCUAAUUGCUCUGGGUAGGACUUCUAGUACUACGUUGAAUAAGAGUAAUGAGAGUGGACAUUCUUUUUUUUUGACGGAGUCUCACACUGUCACCCAGGCUGGAGUACAGUGGCGUGAUCUCCGCUUACUGCAACCUCCACGUCCCGGGUUCAAGUGAUUCUCCUGCCUCAGCCUCCCGAGUAGCUGGGAUUAGAGGCAUGUGCCACCAUGCCCGGCUAAUUUUUUGUAUUUUUAGUAGAGACAGGGUUUCACCAUGUUGGCCAGGCUGGUCUCGAACUACCUCGUGAUCUGCCUGCCUCGGCCUCCCAAAGUGCUGGGAUUAUAGGUGUGAGCCACUGCGCCUGGCCAUUCUUGUCUUGUUCCAGUUCUCAGAGGAAAAGCUUUCAGCUUUUCUCCAUUCAGUAAGAUGUUAACUGUGGGUUUUUUUUUUUUUUUUUUUUUUUUUUUUUGAGACGGAGUCUCACUCUGUAGCCCAGGCUGGAGUGCAGUGGUGAGAUUUGCACUCACUGCAACUUCUGCCUCUCGGGUCCCAUAUCAAGCAGUUCUCCUGCCUCAGCCUCUCGAGUAGCUGGGAUUACAGGAACGCACCACCUUGCCCAGCUAAUUUUUGUAUUUUUGGUAGAGACGGGCUUUCACCGUGUUGGCCAGGCUGGUCUUGAACUUCUGACCUCAUGAUCCAUCCACCUCAGCCUCCCAAAGUGCUGGAAUUAUAGGCGUGAGCCACUGCACCCAGCCUGCUGUGGGUAUUUUUAAUCUUUUUGAAAGUAGAUUGUAGUCACUGUCUAAUCUCUUGUAUUUCUUGCAAAGCACUCAUUACUAGUCUUUGAGUUCUUAAUAUUUGUUUUUUAAAAUAAUUUUAAAAAAUUUUAUACCCUUAGAUCUGCAUAUUGUUUUUUAUGUAGUAAAACUUUUUAUUUGGCUUUAGAUAACUUGGUUAACUUGGUUUCCUGUUUAUUUACUUCCUUGAGUAUAAUUUUGCUGAUGUUUUGGUUCUUAUUGAUAAUUUUCUUUAUUUGGAGCGGUUUUAUAGUUUAUGUAAAUGUUUUAAUGGAUUUCAAAAGGAGUUAGUUUCUUACAGAUACUUUAAAAGCAAAUAAGUAAAUAAAAGGAGUGGGUUCUUGGUGGUAUUACUGGCAUUACCAUCAGAAGACCCUUCAUAU